rnacentral:rRNA from 1 species
CCCUUAGAUGUUCUGGGCAGCACGCGCGCUACAAUGGUCUUCGCAAACGGAUGCAUUCUCGAAGGAGAAUGCCAAUCUUGGAAUCUAUGCCUUGGUCGGGACAGUUGCUUGCAAUUUUUCGACUCGAACCAGGAAUUCCUUGUACUCGUGAUUCAUCACAUCACGAUGAAUACGUCCCUGCCCUUUGUACACACCGCCCGUCGCUCCUACCGAUCGAAGAGUUAGGUGAAUUGUUUUGAUCGAUAAGAUUUGACUAUGGUCAACUCUCGUUGUGAAAUUCUGUGAAUCUGACUGUUUAGAGGAAGGAAAAGUCGUAACA